GACGAACGCUGGCGGCGUGCCUAAUACAUGCAAGUUGAGCGCUGAAGGUUGGUGCUUGUACCAACUGGAUGAGCAGCGAACGGGUGAGUAACGCGUGGGGAAUCUGCCUUUGAGCGGGGGACAACAUUUGGAAACGAAUGCUAAUACCGCAUAAAAACUUUAAACACAAGUUUUAAGUUUGAAAGAUGCAAUUGCAUCACUCAAAGAUGAUCCCGCGUUGUAUUAGCUAGUUGGUGAGGUAAAGGCUCACCAAGGCGAUGAUACAUAGCCGACCUGAGAGGGUGAUCGGCCACAUUGGGACUGAGACACGGCCCAAACUCCUACGGGAGGCAGCAGUAGGGAAUCUUCGGCAAUAGACGAAAGUCUGACCGAGCAACGCCGCGUGAGUGAAGAAGGUUUUCGGAUCGUAAAACUCUGUUGGUAGAGAAGAACGUUGGUGAGAGUGGAAAGCUCAUCAAGUGACGGUAACUACCCAGAAAGGGACGGCUAACUACGUG
rnacentral:rRNA from 1 species